AGCUGCAGGGAGGGGGUCGCCCCGGGAGCGCGCUGCAGUGGAGGACCUCGCCGGGGAAGAUGAAACCCACACGCGCUGGGCGCUGGCUCUGGCUCCGCGUGUAGCACAUAGAAGGUGGCCUGCCCGUACACGGGAAUGCCAAUUCGCCGGCUCUACACUCCCAUUCUUGUAUACAGCGAAGUGAUGUUCAGACAGUGAGGGAAAUAAAAGACCUAAAAAUCUGCUGAUGGUGUCCAAGGACGACGUGCUGCGAAUGCGAUUUUUUCCCUUGUAGUGUCUAGUGUAGUAUACUAUUAGGUGAAAUGGUAGCAUGUGCUAUGACUUUUCAGUAGAAAGACACGUGCAACUUUGAGCAAUGCGAUUUUUUAUGUAGCCGAAGUGAAUGAUGCGGUGAUGCACUGUUGCCAUUGUAUUUUGUCCUCUAGUUACUGCGUGUCUAGCUUUC